GACGAACCGUGCGAACGUUGUUCGGAAUCACUGGGCUUAGAGGGCGCGUAGGCGGGCGACCUGGUCGGGGGUGAAAUCGUUCGGCUCAACCGGACAACAGCCUUCGAUACCGGUCGCCUGGAGGGGGGUAGGGGCGUGUGGAACUUCCGGUGGAGCGGUGAAAUGCGUUGAUAUCGGAAGGAACUCCCGUGGCGAAAGCGACACGCUGGACCCCGCCUGACGCUGAGGCGCGAAAGCCAGGGGAGCGAACGGG
rnacentral:rRNA from 1 species